rnacentral:rRNA from 1 species
GAUCCUGGCUCAGGAUGAACGCUAGCUACAGGCUUAACACAUGCAAGUCGAGGGGCAGCAUGUCGGUUGCUUGCAACCGACGAUGGCGACCGGCGCACGGGUGAGUAACGCGUAUCCAACCUACCCUUGUCCAUCGGAUAACCCGUCGAAAGGCGGCCUAACACGAUAUGCGGUUCUCAGCAGGCAUCUAACGAGAACGAAAUGUGAAGGAGAAGGAUGGGGAUGCGUCUGAUUAGCUUGUUGGCGGGGUAACGGCCCACCAAGGCGACGAUCAGUAGGGGUUCUGAGAGGAAGGUCCCCCACAUUGGAACUGAGACACGGUCCAAACUCCUACGGGAGGCAGCAGUGAGGAAUAUUGGUCAAUGGACGGGAGUCUGAACCAGCCAAGUAGCGUGCAGGACGACGGCCCUAUGGGUUGUAAACUGCUUUUAUAGGGGGAUAAAGUGUGCCACGUGUGGCAUAUUGCAGGUACCCUAUGAAUAAGGACCGGCUAAUUCCGUG